UAAUAUAUGUAUGUGAGUGGAGAAUGUGUGCCAGAAUGAAUUAUAGCUUGUGUGGUCUUUCAUACUUGGUCAAUACUAAUUAUAUUAUAUCAUAAUAAAUAUAUACAGGCACAGGACUAAAAAUACAUCCAUCAGUCAUCGCUUCUGAAAUUAAUUCAACAGGUCAUCUUGUUAAUGCUAUAAAUUAUUUACAGCAAUAAAAAAGCAUUUCAUCAUGAACAAGAAAAGGAACAACAUCACAUUAGAUCACAGAAAUUACAAAAUGACAUUUGAUUCAGCUUUCAAAAGUGCAUUCAUCUUUGCCAUGUUAUAUUCAUUUAGUUGACUAGUGCUGUGUGCUGUAUUAACAAAAACAUAAAUGGGAUUAAUAAAAACACUGACAAGCUACGCAAUAUCACAUUCAUAAUCCAAUCGGAUUCAUCUAAUGAAUAUGAUAUAGUGCAGCUUGUCAGUGGUCUACAGCACUGUGUAUUAAAUGUCGCUCAAUCUAAAAGCCUGUGAUGGAGAUUCACCGGUAUUAUUAAUCACAGAAUCAGCUUUGCUGAUUGAUCAGCACUGGAGCCGUGCCUGUAUCGAGUGAGAUUCAUGCCAAAACCUCACACACACACACACAAAAUGUGUUUUACUCACGCACAAAAUCCUUCAAGUACAAAACAAAAUUCUACAAGUACGAAAUUUUUCGCCUUGCUGAUCCACACGCAAAUGCCUUCAGAUCCACACAUGCUAGUAAACUUUCAUCUAAUUUGCACUCCACAGGUGGCGCUGUUAGCGACUUGCGCCGCCACCGACAUGGAAACAGGAGAGAAGAAGAAACGCUAGCGUGAGGGACGUUUUGAACACGAUGAGCUGCCAACAGGUAUUGUGCCUACCACAUUUGGACUGGGAGGACAGUGGUCUGCCUGAUGGGCCACACCAUGGUGUCACUUUUCCUGAGAUGGGCGAUACACUGAGUGAUGAACAAAUGGCAGCACUAAGGGCAGCCAUAAAUCCCCUGGGACACUCUCAAUCACAUGGCUCAGACAUCUACCUACUUACUGUGGAGUAUGUCCAGCAUUUACUAGGCUUACAGAAAAAUGUACUCAGCAAAGGACCUGAUUCAAUGAUAAUGCAGCACAAAUACAAAAAGAACACUUAUUUACAGAACAGUGCCCCUGCUAAUAACUGGUUUGUAAGAUGUUACAGUAACUGAAAUAAAUAUUUCUAAAUCAGU